GUGUGAUAUGAUGGCAUACCAUCUUUCGGGACUGACUGUUGAAAUGGAGAGUUCCUUUUUACUCGACUGAUCACGC
rnacentral:snoRNA from 1 species